GACGUUGACGGGGGAGCGUUAUUGAUCAUUACUAGGCGUAAAGUGUGACUAGAUGGUUUGAGAAAUUUAGAAUGAAAUCUAAGAUUUAACGAUGUUUUUUCGAUAAUACCUCAAUACUAGAGAUUUAAAAAGAUCUACAAUAAGCACAAUUUAGAGAUAAAAUUCCGGCAAAUUGUGAGGAUUUUCGAAAGCCACGGCGGUUUUUCAUUUAAAUCUGACAUCGAAUCACUAAAGCACGAGUAUCAAUCAGGAUUGGAGACCCUAGUAGUUCGUGCCCUGAAUUUAUGAACAUUUUUUAUAGAUUUUUUUCUAUAUAUAAGCUUACGCGUAAAUGUUUCGCCUGGGGAGUAAAGCUGCAAAGGUAAAACUUAAAUAGAUUGGCGGGAGUUUGUAUAAAUGGUGGAGCGUGUGGUUCAAUUCGACAAUCCACGUUAAAUCUUACCAAUGUAUUAAAGGUAGUUUUAGAUAUAUUUAACCAAAAUUUUCGAAAUUACUUGAACUGGUACUGCAUGGCUGUCGUCAGUUUGUGUUGUGAAAUCUAAUAUUAAUUUAUUGAACAAACGCAACCCCAUUAAUAAAUUUUAUUUAAAUUCGAAAUUAAAGAAACAACACUAUGCUUAAUUUCUGUUUAUAUUUUUUAUUUUAAAUUAGGACGAAUAUUAAAUUUAAUAACUUUAAUGUUUUACAUUCAAUUACGAAUUAUUCAUUAAGAUUUAUUAAUUUUUUGUCCUCAGGAGGCAUGGGUUGAAGUCAAGUCAUUAUGGUCUAAAUACGUUGGGCUACACACGCGCUACAAGGUUAAAAACAAAUAGAAGCAACGGCGAAAUCUGAAGCAAAUCUGCAAAAAUUAACAAAGUUCCGAUUGUAGACUGAAACUCGUCUACAUGAAGAUGGAAUCAUUAGUAAUCGUAAAUUACCAUGUUACGGUGAAUGAUAUAUCAAACUCUGUACACACUGCCCAUCACGCUCGAAGAGUUUUGUUGUUUGUAAAUUUAACAAGAAAUGAAACUAGAGACGAUUUCUGAAACAAAUAUAAGCCUAAAAACUUAUUUUGUUUAUUGAUAUAAAAACAUAAAUUUGAUUUGUUUAAAGAUCAAGUUUAUGUUUUUAUAACUUUGAAAUUAUUGAAGGGUUAGUCUUAUUAUGUAAAUAAUAAGUCAAAGGCUUUUUUUUUUGUAAAUCAAGGCCGACGAAGUAAUUUGAGCGAAGUUG
rnacentral:rRNA from 1 species